rnacentral:lncRNA from 1 species
CUCAUCCCUGGGCCGGGCCAUUCCUUUACUAAGCUGGGCUCUCAGCCAUGGCUGAAGAGACGCCAGCGGGGAGGAGGCAGGGGCUGCGCUGCUGGUGUGGGUAAUUGCUGCUGGGAGCCUGAGGUGGCCUGCAGCUACCCAGGCGGGAUUAGUGACAUCAGCCCCACCCGGGCAGCAGGUUCAGACAGGAGGAAAGGCAGGCGGCCUGCGCAAGGUCAGAGGGGGCAUUGGCAGCCCGAAGAGUGGGCCCUCCCAGCCUGGGCUCCUUGGGACCUGCCUGCUCUGGCACGGCUGUGGGGGAAACCUGUUGGGGAAGUGUGAAUGUGUCAUAACUUGGCCAAGGACUAGCUGCAAGGCAUGCUGGGACCGCAGAAGCAUGAAGCCUCUGGAAGAGGAAGAGGCGCUGGGACUAAAUGGAGGGAACUUGCCCAGCUGGGAAGUUGGCGAUUGGUACAGAGAGAGGUCCGAGUUGUCCAAAUGGUUGUGGGGAACUCGGACAGGUUCCAGGUUAGUCUCCUUUCUACCAUGGGGCAUUGUGGAGGUGGGUGGGGGCGGCGGGAUCAGAACUCUUCAGGCUAUAACUAUGCCAGA